UGGGGAAUAUUGCACAAUGGACGAAAGUCUGAUGCAGCAACGCCGCGUGGAGGAUGACACAUUUCGGUGCGUAAACUCCUUUUAUAUAGGAAGAUAAUGACGGUACUAUAUGAAUAAGCACCGGCUAACUCCGUGCCAGCAGCCGCGGUAAUACGGAGGGUGCAAGCGUUACUCGGAAUCACUGGGCGUAAAGAGCGUGUAGGCGGGUAUAUAAGUCAGAAGUGAAAUCCAAUAGCUUAACUAUUGAACUGCUUGUGAAACGGUAUACCUAGAAUGUGGGAGAGGUAGAUGGAAUUUCUGGAGUAGGGGUAAAAUCCGUAGAGAUCAGAAGGAAUACCGAUUGCGAAGGCGAUCUACUGGAACAUUAUUGACGCUGAGACGCGAAAGCGUGGGGAGCAAACA
rnacentral:rRNA from 1 species